rfam:Stegodyphus mimosarum contig95866, whole genome shotgun sequence.
GCCUUCGUGGUGUAGUGGUCAGCACGCAGGACGCGUAUUCCAGAGAUCCUUGGUUCGAAUCCCGGCGAAGGCU